AGCCCAUUAGCUCAGUUGUUUAGAGCGUCGUGCUAAUAACGCGAAGGUCGCGGGUUCAAUCCCCUCAUGGGCCA
rnacentral:tRNA from 1 species